rnacentral:rRNA from 1 species
GACGAGGGGUCCAAGCGUUGUUCGGAAUUAUUGGGCGUAAAGCGGGUGUGGGUGGCUCUAUAAGUCAGGAGUGAAAUCCCCGAGCUUAACUUGGGAAGUGCUUUUGAUACUGUAGAGCUUGAAUGUGGGAGAGGAUAAUAGAAUUCCAGGUGUAGUGGUGAAAUACGUAGAUAUCUGGAGGAAUACCGGUGGCGAAGGCGGUUAUCUGGCCCAACAUUGACACUGCGACCCGAAAGCGUGGGGAUCAAACAGG